GCGGUGUUGGUUCAACAGUAGAAUCCGAGGUUGCCAGCCUCGAGACCCCGGUGCGACUCCGGGACGCCGCU
rnacentral:tRNA from 1 species